GAACUUAACCUGACGUAUCCCACGCACAAAAGUUAGCUCACAGUGGACGAACAUAGUUGAUAUUUGCCCCUUGUGUUCAUGAACAAACUUUUCUAUGGGAAACUCCAUUGCCUCAGUAGUUUGGAGGGCUAACAGAUUCUGUACAUAUGGUGAUGACAAAAUAGCAAACAUAGUUGAAACAGUUGCCUGAUUUUGACACACAUUUUAAGAACAUUGAUGGAUGUGAAAUACCAAAAAAAGAAAAAAAAGGAACAUUGUUGGAUGUGAAAAAACAAAAAGAGAAAAAAAUAUUUGGUUCUUCUAAAAGCAGUUGUUUAGCAGGUUCGCUUUUGUUCUUUUUAUUUGUCAAUUAUAAGUCCACGUCUUUAAAAACAUUUUAUUUUCUGUGUGUUAUUGCUAUUUUUCAAGUCAACAAACCUACUAUGACUCGGUAUUGACACGUAGUGGAUGUUUGGACAUAAGAAUAAUGUAAUUCUGGGAAAAGUGAAAAAAAAAAUUAAAUAAAAAUUGUAUUUGAAAAUUAGAGUUUGAAGUGAAAAUUUUGAAUUUUUAUGAGUAACUUAAAGUAAAAUUUUUGAAAAAUAAUUUUUUGGAGUUUUUAAAUUUUUGAAAAAUUUUGAAAUUCAAGUUAAAUGAAAUUUGAAAUUUUUUUGGUCAAACACGUAUUCCCAAAAAAAGUGAAAAGUUUACCAAAAAAGAAAGAUAGAACUUUUUUAUUGGACAAAUGCGCCGUAGUAAAUAAGUUCAAUAAAGGAAUUUUUACAUUCCUAUACACUAUAUGAAAUUAUAUUACCUUCACUACUCAAGUUUUACUAUAAUUACAUUUUAUAUACGUAAUUAUCAUUUAUGUACAUUUUAAGAGAAUUAAUGAUAUUAAUUAGUGUCCUAAAAUAACUUUACCGUAUAUUCUCACUCCCCCAUGAUUCUCUCUCCACAUCCCCUACCCCUCCCCUCACGUAUCUUGCACAAGAGAUCAGCAGUUCCACAAUAGAAAAAUAUUAAAAAGCUUUAAAGUUUUAAAUUUAAAUUUGGAUUUUCAAAAAAGAUUAUUUGUUUCAAUUAGAUGUUGUUGCCAAGAAUUGGGAUUUUCUCUACGCCUCUCUCUAAUAGUUCCUAAUAUCAGCAAUAUAAAUCAAAGGAAAAGAUAGCAGCAGUUCCACCAUUGAUAUCCAUUAAAAAACUUUGAAGCUUUGAAUUCGAAUUUUGAUUUUAAAAAUCAUUAUUUGUUUAGAUUGAGUGUUGUUGCAAACAAUUGAGAAUAUGGUUCGAAGUUUAUAUCUCAAUUUUGAGGGUGUUUUGGUGAUGAUUAGACUUGAUUUUGGCUUAAUUUCAGAUUGAAACUCGAAGAGUAAGAAGAAUAAGGCAUGACAAACAUUAUAAGUACGAAAUUGUAGAUAAUUAUGGUAAAAUUGUAAAAAAAAUUAUAUUAUGUUGUUUAUAUAUAUUUUUGUUAUUUAAAUAUUGAAUGAAAAUUGAACAAUAUUUGUAUAAAAAUUAUAUUCACGUAGUAUGAUAUUGUAGUUGUAUAUAACUGGGUAGAAAUAAUAUACGAACGAUGUAGAUAAAUAGUAUAAUAUAUAAUUAGUUGUAUGAAAUUUAUUUUUACUAUAUAUUAAUCAAAUACACCAAAAGAUAUAUUAUAUAAAAAUUAUAUUUACGUGAUAUGAUAUUGUAGUUAUAUAUAACUGGAUAGAAAUAAUGUAUGAAAGUUAUAGAUAAAAUUGUAUAAUAUAUAAUUAUAUAUACAUAUUAUACUUUUAUACUUUUAAUUUUAAAGGUAUGCAAUUAUCAUGACUCAUCGCGAAUUUAAAACAUUUUCUUACACUUUAGUAUUAUACAACAUUGUAAAAUUAGCUCUGCUGCACAUACCUUUAUCCCACUUCUUCCUCCUGGAAAGAUAAUAGCAGAGAAGCACCAGUACGUUGAACUGUUAUCAACCCAGUUUAAAAGCAGAUCAAUCUAUGCGAAAAGCAUCUAUUUCUUAAGAAAGUCACCUACUCCAUUUUGUU
rnacentral:lncRNA from 1 species